CGAGGGCGAGCGCGAGGUAGCAUACCUGGCGGCGACCGGCGCACGGUGGCGUAACGACGUAUGCAACCUAGCCCGUAACCAGGGGGAGUAAAUACAGGGAAACGUUAGACCUAAUACCCACUAUUGCCACGGGCCGGCAUGACCUUGUGGCGAAAGUUCCGAUGGUUACGGAUGGGCAUGCGUGACAUUAGCUUGUUGGUAAGGUAACGGCUUACCAAGGCUACGAUGUCUAGGGGAGCUGAGAGGCUAACCCCCACACUGGUACUGAGACACGGACCAGACUCCUACGGGAGGCAGCAGUGAGGAAUAUUGGUCAAUGGACGGAAGUCUGAACCAGCCAUGCCCGCGUGGGGGAGGAAGGCCCUAUGGGUUGUAAACCCCUUUUGCUCCGGAGUAAUAAGGCCCAUGCGUGGGCCGAUGAGAGUACGGGGCGAAUAAGCAUCGGCUAACUCCGUGCCAGCCGCAGC
rnacentral:rRNA from 1 species